GCUGACGUUAUUUUUGGUUUGCUGCUGGCGGCAAAUUUAAGUUUGGCGUUUUUCAUAAAUACAAGAAGGACUCAAAUAGACGUAGCCAUCUUUCUGAAGACAAAACUAUUGAGGAAAAAAAGAAUCAUUGGUGAUCAAAGCUGCACUGCAAAACCAUAUCCUUCAAGAAUACUUAUUGGAAUGGAGGCUGCAAACCUUGUCGGACACGAAUGCCCUUCAGGAUAGCGGCACUGCAAAACGUGCAGCUGAUGCACUGCUCCAGGUUCGACUCUGAGCUCCAGCUGCAACCAUGAGAGGUCAGAGAAUUUUGCCCUUGUCACAGAGGGACUCCUUGGGGCUGUGUCCCACGCUGAAUGUUCAUCAACGACCUUCCAUCGCAAGGUCAAAUAUGAGAUGCUGGAUGAUGACUGCACAAGUUCAAUCCACUUGCAGUUCUUGCAAGAUUAACACUACCCAGGACAAAGUAGCCCUCUGGUGGUCACCCCAUAGACCCUUCUACAAACACCUUACAGCUGCAACAAGCACCCUAUCCUCUACAAAUGAACUUCACUUGUUCGCCACAGCUACACUGAGGGCAUCUAAACCAACGGCUCUAACAGCAAGGUAGGUGGGGUCAUUGGCACAAGGAAGCAGCACCAUUUCUACAUUCUCCUCAGAGAUGCACAAAACACUGACUGGGAAAGAUACAUGUUGCCUCGUUAUUACUGAAAUCUUGGAAUUCCAACAUUGUAAGAGCCCUGUUGCAAAUGUUCAAGGCAAUAGCUCAGCACUACUACCUCAAAGGCAAUUAAAGCCAACACCCAUAGCUUAUGAAUAAGUACAUUAAAACACACAGUAAUCAGAUUGACAAAUAACAGGAAGCUCACGCCCAGAUUAAGUCCUGCGAUCACAUGCAAGCAAAGGUCACGUGGUUGCAAAGCCGGCAGCAGCUAUGUAAAGUCUACGUGUUUAAAAGGCCACAGCCUCCAAAUGACUGUUUUAUACCAGCUCAUUAAAAUAGUCAGCUCCUGAAAUACAAGCUAAAGCGAAAAAGAAAGCUGAUACAAAGCAAUGUCAUUAAAAUAACUGUAUCUGCAGAAUAUGGGUAAUAACUCUGCUGCAGGGUGCCACUUGGUCAUCCAGUAACCUGAAUAGGUUAGUCACAAACACAAGAAAAUCUUGGUGGCCACCCAUUUCAAUUCUACUUCCCAUUCCCACACUGACAAGUCAGUCCAUGACCUCCUCUACUGCUGCACUUUGGUUGGAGAAGCAACACCAUAUAUUCCAUCUGGGUAGCCUCCAACCUGAUGGCAUGAACAUUGUUCUCUUGAACUUCUGAUAAUUGCCCCUCUCCCUUCACUAUCCCCACUCCCAUUUCCCUCUCCCAUCCAUCAUCUCCCUCUGGUGCUCCCCCACCCUUCCUUUUCUUCCAUGGUCUUUUACUCUCUUCUGUCAGAUUCUCCCUCCUCCAGUCCUUUAUCUCUUUCACCAAUCAACUCUCCAGUUCUUUACCUCACCCCAAUCCCUCUCCCGGUUUCACCUAUCACCUACCACCUUGUAUUUCUUGCUCCCCUCUCCCACCUUCUUACUCUGACUUCAUCUUUUUUUCCAGUUCUGAUGAAGGGUCUCAGCCCAAAGUGUUGACUGUUUAUUCCUUUCCUCAGAAGCAGCCUGACCUGCUGUAAUCCUCCAGCAUUUUGUGUGUAUUGCCCUGAAUAUGUUAGUGCUAAUUACCCAAUAAUGACAACUCAAAAUCCUUUCUUCUACUAACACCAACUACCAAUUCCUUUUGAAUACACAUGUCCAAUUAUGGACACCAACUCAAAUCCUCCACCUCUGCUGACAUGCUUAAAAACUGACUAGGACUGUCAAAUCAAACUGUCGGUAAUCUUCAUUUAAUGGGAAUGAUAAGCAAUGUUGUUUUCUAAUUGUACAGUGUGGCAUCCGUUAGUCUCGCCAGGCCAUGGAUCUGUGCCCUCUCCAGGGCGCAGGCCUGGGCAAGGUUGUAUGGGAGACCAGCAGUUGCCCAUGCAGUGAGUCUCCCCUCUCCACACUACUACUGUUGUCCAAGGGAAGGGCAAGGGCCGAUACAGCUUAAUUGUACAGUAACUUUUCCUCAUGCUCAAUCAUUCGUCCAUUAAAUUCCAAAUCAAUUGGAAAAUGCUUCACCUCACUGCUACAAUUUAAAAUUUGUGUUCAACCUCUCUUCACUUCUUCCAGUCCCACAAUUCAUCCAAUUUCAGUCCCUGGAUCUAUUGUUUGUCCCAACAUUAGCUACCACCGCGCAGCCUAACAUCAAAUGGCUUACUUACAUUCUUCAGUAAUAUUGCAUUUUAAGAAUAGUUUUGUUUUGAUGUAUCACUGCAAAUGGAGAGGAGUGAGGGAGCCAGAUCAUUGAGUUGAAAUCUAGACCUGCCACACAUCAGACUCCAGCAGCUGUGACAGGCUUGACCAACUCUCACUUCUGUCAAGUAUCAUUUUUCGCCACUAAAAUAUAUAAUUAACACUUUAACUUUAAAUCUCAUUAUAACAAUUGACAACUCUAUUGUUAGAUGAAAGGAAAAUUACUGAUAGGCAUAGAAAAGUAUAGCACAAAAAACAGGCCCUUCAUCCCCUCUAGUCCAAGCCAAGCCAUCUAAGGUGCCUACGUCAAUUGACCUGCUCUGCGACCAUAGCCCUCCAUACCCCUACCAUCCAAGUAACUAUCCAGACUUCGCCUAAGUGUUGAAAUCGAGCUUGCAUGCACCACUUGUGCUGGUAGAUCGUUCCAAACUCACACCACCCUCUAAGUAAAGGAGGUUCCCUCAAGUUCUCCUUAAACUUUUUAAUCUUUCACCCUUAACCCAUGACUUCUGGUUGUAGUCCCACCCAACUUCAGUGGAAAAAGCCUUCAUGCAUUUGCCCCAUCUAUAUUCCUCAUAAUUUUGUAUACCUCCUGUCAAUCCUCUACGCUCCAAAAUAGGUUAGGAAUAAAGUCCUAACCUAUUCAAUAAUGUGCAAUAAUUUGCUGUUGAGAUGAGUAAAGGAGAGAAAGCAGCCCAGCGGUAGCAGUCUCUUGAGGUUCUUGUCUCUUUUAUCUGUGCCUUUGAGUCAAGCAGCCUGCUGUUCUUACAAUUCAUGAGUCAGUGCACAAAUCCUUUCAAAAUGUAUCUGUGAAAUGACUGCACAUCUGGCUGAACAACAUACAGCCAAUAAUAAUCACUGGAAGCAACACAUUACUUCAUUUUGUGUGUUCAAAUGACAAACGUGAUACACAUAGUGAACGUUACAGCUCCCAGACUCCAAGUUAAUGGAACAGCUUCAUUCAAGAGGAUUAAAUAACAGAACGCAGUUUUCAGAACUUACAGCACCUCAUUCCAAAAUAUGGACACCAUAAAAUCUUACUAAAGCCCCUUUUGUUACAGAUGUAUUUGGGAAACGCAUCAUAUUUCACAUCACUCUCAACAUCCAACGAGAAAUUAAAUGAAAUUAAGUGUGCAGCUUUGAUACAUGUGAGCCAUAAUUGGUAUUUGAGUAAAAUGCUAUUUCUUUUAAAGGUUUGCCAGAUGACAGUCUUGACAAGGUUUGAGUUUUUAAAAAAUGCCUACAUAUAAACUUAUUUGGGUGGAAAACUAACUGCUCGAUAACGUGAAGUAUUCUGCUGGCACAUCAGCUGCUGGAGUUAAGAUCAUAAUAAUCCUUCACAAAUCUCUUACUUGUUCAAAAAUGCAAUAAUAAGCAUCUUUACAUCCAUAACACAUGAAAAUUAUUGAAACCAGAUCACCAGAGCAAAUUGCUUGGGACAGGCCUACAAGUAAGAUUGCAUUGGGAAGAAAUGUUACUCAGACACCUUGCUCAGCCUUUCAGCAUACUAAACCCCCCAAAUGCAGCUACCAUUGAUAUCAUAACUUAGUGCAGGGCAAGAUUUGCACUAAAAGAUCUGGGAGCCCAUUCCCUGCUUUGGAGCGAGGGGUGGAAGAGGCUCAAUAGUAAUCUUAAAUGUUACUUGUAUCAGUUGUACACUACACUUACACAUUUCAAUCUCACAUUCUUUCUAAACACUUUGAUUUACUCUUUCCUUUCUGUUUGCUAUAUCUAUUUGCCUGUUGAGACACAGUGCAGAAUAGGCUCUUCUGACCUUCAACCCACAUCACCCAGUAAUCCCCAAUUUAAUCGUAGUCUAAUAACGGGAAAAUUUACAAUGAUCAAUUAACCUGCCAACCAGUAAUAUCUUUGAACUGAGAGAGAAAACUGGAGCACCUGGAGGAAACCCAUGUGGUCUCGGGGAGAACAUACGAACUCAUUACAGGCAGUGCUGAGAAUUAAACCCAAGUCACUGGUAAUGCAAAGCGGUGUGCUGAUCACUACACUACUCUUUCUUCCUAACUUAGGAUACAGGAUUUAAUUGGCAAUAAUUUUGAUAAAAUAAAAUGAAAGUUAGGCUUUAACUAUUAUAAUUUUCAGAACAGCACAAAAUUAAGUACAUAGGCCGAGACAAUGCACAAUUAUAAGUUUUAUGUAAUACUAUGACUACUUUGCACUACAAUGGACUUUAGCUCAAAAAUACAACUGCAGAUGCUGUGGAUCAAAGAAUACAUACACAAUGCUGGAAGAACUCAGCAGGUCAGGCAGCAUCUGUGAGAAAAGAGUAGCUAACGCCCACUCCUGAUGAAGGGUCUCGGCCUGAAACGUUGGCUACUCUUUUCUCAUGGAUGCUGCCUGACCUGCUGAGUUCUUCCAGUGUUGUGUACAUAUUAAUGGACUUUAGCUUAUGUUCUAAUAGUGUCUUUCAUGUAUAAUUUAUAUUUUUCUUAUAAAUGUUGCAUCUCCAAUAUUAUGUGCUUGUGAACCUGCUGCAAGUACAUUUUUCACUGCACCUGUACAUAAGAUAUUAAACUCAAUUUGACUAUAAAAAGCAAAUAAUACUCGUUUCAAUUUAUUGCUUCCAGCCAGUAAUAUUACAUAUGAAAUAUAAAUAAAAUACAAAAACAAACAUUUUCAUUAGCGGCUGAGUACAUACAUGAACCUUAAACCUAACAUUGCAAUUUGUUAGUUGGUCAGUGCAGGGUGAAACUGAGAUGCUGAUGAUUAAAAAUAAAACCCUGCCAGUCUUACUCAUAACUCAGCCCUAUGACUAGUGACCUAUUUCAUCACUGUGCACUGCCUCCAAAGCUAAAGCACUUUUUUCAUUUCUUGCUGACCUGAACUCAACCCACGCACAAGCUGGGAUUAAUGAGAACUCGUCCCAAAACUACAGGGGCAGUCUGACAAGAGGUGAACCUCAGACUCUGCAAAACCUGGGCACUGAACAGAGUCCUCAAGGUGUGGCCACAACUGUUUGAAAGCCAAUUCGCCACUUAAGGUGCUUGUUGCCUUCCAUCACCUUUCCCACUCCUCACUGGAAGGUUUGGAGGAAGAAGCAUCAAAGCCAAUUCUGGUAUCAGAAUUAUUUUGCUCAUGAGCAGGACUGUGAAUGACGUCUGGCAAAGCCAAUUUUCAUCUGUGAGUACCAACUUGUAUUUCUAAUCAUUCUAUGUCUAUGGGAUAUUAAACAUUUGACCCUCAAAGGUUAAUUCCAGCAAGGCCAAAUAAUAUUCCAAUGACUUUAGUGAGGAGUAAAUCAGCUAAUAAGUAAAACAACAGUGGGAGCUAUUGAUCACAGAACUACUCUACAACAACUCCACUUAUCUUCUCCCCAAUUAUUAUGUCGGAAGCACCAUUGUGGUCCUGAAUUGAGUACACAAUUAACCAUCCACAUUACCAGCUAAUUACUGGCUCAAGUAGAGUAGCUUUGUCCACCUCAAGUAAGCUUGGUACCAAAAUAACCAGCAGGAUUUAAAAUCUUAAUCUCAAAAGAUGUCUAAGCUCCAGAGAAACCAGCCCAAGGAGAUCUUUCCUGCACAUUAUUGGAUUCCUGACUCUUUGGGAAAUUUGGUUGCAUACUCUUGGAACAUUAAUAGCACAACACAUCCACUAAUCUGUCCUUUAAAAACAUUUUUCAUCUGCAUUGAAAGACAAGAAGCUACCCAACCUGCUGAGACUACCAGCAAGUAUGAUGAGAGAAAGAGUUAACAUUUAAGGGUUGUUCACCUUUUAUAAGAACUGGGCUAAAUUAAACUGCAUUAUUUUAAUAAAUAAUUACACUGGAUUCUUGAAAACUUGCUUAAAUCAAGUGUUGAGGCUGAGAGAAAAACAGAGCUGGAGGAGAGAACUGACUGCAACUUGGUUGACCUUCAACCAGUAAAUACAAAAUAUUUAACAUCCUCUACGCACAUCCAGUUAGUUAUAUAUAGUGAUUAGCCAAAACAUCAAUUUACUACAGUCCCAGGAGAUGCAGCUAUUCCAAGACACACUUCCUGCCAACAUAUUUUCACUGAACACACAAGUAUAACUUAUU